rnacentral:rRNA from 1 species
CAGGUGCUAAUACCGUAUAACAAUCGAAACCGCAUGGUUUUGAUUUGAAAGGCGCUUUCGGGUGUCGCUGAUGGAUGGACCCGCGGUGCAUUAGCUAGUUGGUGAGGUAACGGCUCACCAAGGCCACGAUGCAUAGCCGACCUGAGAGGGUGAUCGGCCACAUUGGGACUGAGACACGGCCCAAACUCCUACGGGAGGCAGCAGUAGGGAAUCUUCGGCAAUGGACGAAAGUCUGACCGAGCAACGCCGCGUGAGUG